GACGAACGCUGGCGGCGUGCUUAACACAUGCAAGUCGAACGAUGAAGCCUUUCGGGGUGGAUUAGUGGCGAACGGGUGAGUAACACGUGGGCAAUCUGCCCUGUACUUUGGGAUAAGCCUUGGAAACGAGGUCUAAUACCGGAUAUGACUGGCCUUCGCAUGGGGUUGGUUGAAAGUUCUGGCGGUACAGGAUGAGCCCGCGGCCUAUCAGCUUGUUGGUGGGGUAAUGGCCUACCAAGGCGACGACGGGUAGCCGGCCUGAGAGGGCGACCGGCCACACUGGGAC
rnacentral:rRNA from 1 species